GACGAACGCUGGCGGCGUGCUUAACACAUGCAAGUCGAACGGAAAGGCCCUGCUUUUGUGGGGUGCUCGAGUGGCGAACGGGUAAUUAACCCGUGAGUAACCUGCCCUUGGCUUUGGGUUAACUUCAGGAAACUUGGUCUAAUACCCGAUAGGUGCUCCUGCUGCAGGGUGGGGGUUGGAAAGUUUCGGUGGUUGGGGAUGGACUCGCGGGUAAUCACCUUGUUGGUGGGGUAGUCGCUUACAAAGGCUUUGACGGGUAGGCGGCAUUAGAGGGGGACCGGGCACAAGGGGACUGCGAGAGGGACCAGACUCCUACGGGGGGCAGCAGGGGGGAAUAUGGCACAAUGGGCGGAAGCCUAAUGCAGCAACGCCGCGUGCGUGAUGACGGCCUUCAGGUUGUAAACCGCUUUCGCCUGUGACGAAGCGUGAGUGACGGUAAUGGGUAAAGAAGCACCGGCUAACUACGUG
rnacentral:rRNA from 1 species